ACCCUAAGUGUGCUGAUCAGUGCGGAUGUCUAGCUCAAAUAGAACACAUGAGUAAGAUGAGUAAGAGCAAGGGUU
ensembl:miRNA